rnacentral:rRNA from 1 species
GUAACAAGGUUUCCGUAGGUGAACCUGCGGAAGGAUCAUUACUGAGUGAGGGCCCUCUGGGUCCAACCUCCCACCCGUGUUUAUUGUACCUUGUUGCUUCGGUGCGCCCGCCUCACGGCCGCCGGGGGGCUUCUGCCCCCGGGUCCGCGCGCACCGGAGACACUAUUGAACUCUGUCUGAAGAUUGCAGUCUGAGCAUAAACUAAAUAAGUUAAAACUUUCAACAACGGAUCUCUUGGUUCCGGCAUCGAUGAAGAACGCAGCGAAAUGCGAUAACUAAUGUGAAUUGCAGAAUUCAGUGAAUCAUCGAGUCUUUGAACGCACAUUGCGCCCCCUGGUAUUCCGGGGGGCAUGCCUGUCCGAGCGUCAUUGCUGCCCUCAAGCACGGCUUGUGUGUUGGGCUCCGUCCCCCCGGGGACGGGUCCGAAAGGCAGCGGCGGCACCGAGUCCGGUCCUCGAGCGUAUGGGGCUUUGUCACCCGCUCUGUAGGCCCGGCCGGCGCCAGCCGACAACCAAUCAUCCUUUUUUCAGGUUGACCUCGGAUCAGGUAGGGAUACCCGCUGAACUUAAGCAUAUCA